rnacentral:lncRNA from 1 species
GUGGGACUUGCUCCCACACGCUAAACAUUUCUCUUUUUCGCCUUUGUUUUAUACCUCCACAAUCAAAAGCUGCUCUCUCUCAUUCACUAAUCCACCCAUUAUGAUAAACUGUAUCUAUCCUUACUAGUUUGUUUCUGUUAUCACUUCAUUGCAGACACUUUAUCAGGUUAAAAAUCUUAAAUCUGAACAAUAUAGUUUAGGUGUUGUUCAUAAAAAAGAGAAGAGCAAACAGUUUGCCUUAGAACCAAAUAUAUUUAAAUAUUUGGACAGGUGAAUGCAGUUCAAGUUAAUUAUAACCUAGUGAAUGGUAUUGAUGAGCAACCAGAUGAACAAUCACUUCUUCCAGAGUGGUCCACUGCUUAAGGUGUUAUUGGUGAUCCAGAAAUAUCUGUACCAGGUUGAACUUCCUACUUUAAUUUCAAAAUCUGAGUAUUGUUGUUUUCAAAGGAACACUAACGAAGCAGAAACUAUACUCCAUAACUUUCAAAUAAUUUGGUUAAAGUAUGGAGCAGAGAACAACAAUGACGGUCCACCAAAACACGAAUGCAAGUCAGCUGGAGUCAUCAAUAAAAUUGAAUCUCUAAAACGAGAACGCAUAAGAGACUCAAAAUGACUUGGACCAUGAGAAGUUGAAUCCUAAACUUGAGGCUAUUGGCAGUAGACAUAAAGGGAAGAUUCUUGUUCAUGGUUCUUGAACUGAUACCUGGACUGAAAUCGAAGAGGCCAAUUUAGUCCUUGGCUUUUAUACAUUUGGGAAGAACUUCGUUCAAGUGAAAAGGUUUAUACGCAAUAAGAAAAUGAAGGAUAAACUGUCAUUCUAUUA